GCCUACACAUGCAAGUCGAGCGGUAACAGAAAGUAGCUUGCUACUUUGCUGACGAGCGGCGGACGGGUGAGUAAUGCUUGGGAACAUGCCUUGAGGUGGGGGACAACAGUUGGAAACGACUGCUAAUACCGCAUAAUGUCUACGGACCAAAGGGGGCUUCGGCUCUCGCCUUUAGAUUGGCCCAAGCGGGAUUAGCUAGUUGGUGAGGUAAUGGCUCACCAAGGCAACGAUCCCUAGCUGGUUUGAGAGGAUGAUCAGCCACACUGGAACUGAGACACGGUCCAGACUCCUACGGGAGGCAGCAGUGGGGAAUAUUGCACAAUGGGCGAAAGCCUGAUGCAGCCAUGCCGCGUGUGUGAAGAAGGCCUUCGGGUUGUAAAGCACUUUCAGUCAGGAGGAAAGGGUGUGAGUUAAUACCUCAUAUCUGUGACGUUACUGACAGAAGAAGCACCGGCUAACUCCGUGCCAGCAGCCGCGGUAAUACGGAGGGUGCGAGCGUUAAUCGGAAUUACUGGGCGUAAAGCGUACGCAGGCGGUUUGUUAAGCGAGAUGUGAAAGCCCCGGGCUCAACCUGGGAACUGCAUUUCGAACUGGCAAACUAGAGUGUGAUAGAGGGUGGUAGAAUUUCAGGUGUAGCGGUGAAAUGCGUAGAGAUCUGAAGGAAUACCGAUGGCGAAGGCAGCCACCUGGGUCAACACUGACGCUCAUGUACGAAAGCGUGGGGAGCAAACGGGAUUAGAUACCCCGGUAGUCCACGCCGUAAACGAUGUCUACUAGAAGCUCGGAACCUCGGUUCUGUUUUUCUAAGCUAACGCAUUAAGUAGACCGCCUGGGGAGUACGGCCGCAAGGUUAAAACUCAAAUGAAUUGACGGGGGCCCGCACAAGCGGUGAGCAUGUGUUUAAUUCGAUGCAACGCGAAGAACCUUACCUACACUGACAUACAGAGACUUUCUAGAGAUAGAUGUGCUUCGGGACUCUGAUACAGGUGCUGCAUGCUGUCGUCAGCUCGAUGUGUGAGAUGUGGGUAAGUCCCGCACGAGCGCAACCCCUAUCCUUAGUUGCUAGCAGGUAUGCUGAGAAUCUA
rnacentral:rRNA from 1 species